ACGUAGGGGGCAAGCGUUAUCCGGAUUUACUGGGUGUAAAGGGAGCGUAGACGGCACGGCAAGCCAGAUGUGAAAGCCCGGGGCUCAACCCCGGGACUGCAUUUGAAACUGCUGAGCUAGAGUGUCGGAGAGGCAAGUGGAAUUCCUAGUGUAGCGGUGAAAUGCGUAGAUAUUAGGAGGAACACCAGUGGCGAAGGCGGCUUGCUGGACGAUGACUGACGUUGAGGCUCGAAAGCGUGGGGAGCAAACAG
rnacentral:rRNA from 1 species